UAGCAUUACGCCGGAAGAACGGAUUACUCUGAUGAGGUAAACUAUUGGUUUAUAUGCCUUAAUGCU
rnacentral:tRNA from 1 species